GACGAACGCUGGCGGCGUGCUUAACACAUGCAAGUCGAACGAAGAGCGAUGGAAGCUUGCUUCUAUCAAUCUUAGUGGCGAACGGGUGAGUAACGCGUAAUCAACCUGCCCUUCAGAGGGGGACAACAGUUGGAAACGACUGCUAAUACCGCAUACGAUCUAAUCUCGGCAUCGAGGAUAGAUGAAAGGUGGCCUCUACAUGUAAGCUAUCACUGAAGGAGGGGAUUGCGUCUGAUUAGCUAGUUGGAGGGGUAACGGCCCACCAAGGCGAUGAUCAGUAGCCGGUCUGAGAGGAUGAACGGCCACAUUGGGACUGAGACACGGCCCAGACUCCUACGGGAGGCAGCAGUGGGGAAUCUUCCGCAAUGGACGAAAGUCUGACGGAGCAACGCCGCGUGAGUGAUGGCGGCCUUCGGGUUGUAAAGCUCUGUUAAUCGGGACGAAAGGCCUUCUUGCGAAUAGUGAGAAGGAUUGACGGUACCGGAAUAGAAAGCCACGGCUAACUACGUG
rnacentral:rRNA from 1 species